CAGGGGCAGGGGCUGAACCAGGGGAUGGGAUAGGAACUAGGACAGGGGCAGGGAAAGGACCAGGGGAUGGGAUAGGAACUGGGACAGGGGCUGAACCAAGUUAUGUGGAUGAAGUGUCCUAGACCUGUACAUACCACCCCCAUCCCACUGACAGAUGUGACUGGCUGUGAUUCACCAGGAAUAUCUGAUGUUCUGAAAUGGACCUGAAUCCAAAGAUAGUAGCCUGCGUCCUGUCCUGUAUGCUUGUCUACAAUGUUGUUGCAGUUAUAUGUAGACUAGUCUCAUCUCUAGUAGCAACCACUGCCCCACACUGCAUGCUGUCUAAGCUGAGCAGCAGGCUGUUGUAUGGUGCUGUUGUAUGUAGGUUAUUGUUGUGUGUUAUGUACCUUUGGACAGGGUGUUCAAUUAGCUUUAGUGUUGUGUUCUGAAUUUGUGGUUUGGUCAAGUAAUAAGAUAAACUUGAAUAGCGAAUAUUGACUGUCAGCUUGUUUAUUGGGAUGCCAAAAGGAGUUGGUAAAAUGUGCAUACACAUGUUGACAUUCUACAUAUUGAUAGUCACACCCCCAGCAGUCAUGGUACUGUAGAGUUGUACAUAAGUCUUACCGUUUCUAAAGCCUUUAUCUCAUUCUUCAUGUACGCUGAACAACAUUUUAUAAACACAACAAUUUAUUUACCUUUAUUUAACUAGGCAAGUCAGUUUCAAUGAUGACCUAGGAACAGUGGGUUAACUGCCUGUUCAGGGGCAGAACGACAGCUCGGGGAUUUGAACUUGCAACCUUCCGGUUCCUAGUCCAACGCUCUAACCACUAGGCUACCCUGCCGCCACAAGUCACAGUUCAUAUAAGGAGAUCAGUCUAUUUAAAUAAAUUCAUUAGGCCCUAAUCUAUGGAUUUCACAUGACUGGGAAUAAAAAAUUUAAAAAUAAAGUAGAGCGUGGAUGAGAAAACCAGUUUGUAUCUGGUGUGACCACCAUUUGCCACAUGCAGCACAACACAUCUCCUUCACAUAGAGUUGAUCAGGCUGUUGAUUGUUGCAUGUGGCACAUUGUCCCACUCCUCUUCAAUGAGUAUGUUUACAUGUACACUAAUAAUUUGAUAUUAAAACAGAUUAUGGCAGUAGGCAGGUUAUGAAAAGAUUAACAACGGCUGGACUCCACCUUAAAUAAAUUGAAACGGGUUGGUCCAUAAUCCAAAGACCAGAAAUGGGACAGCAGUCCUCUAAUUAAACUGACAUUGACAUACAGUAUGAGCCCUUUUUCAGCGUGCCAGGCAAUGGCAAUCAAUGUCUCAGCAACAAGACCUCACACAGAGAGGGCUGUGGGGGAAACAUGACAAUCUAAUAAAGAUACAUAGACAAUCAAUACGAUUACAUUAUGACGUCAUUCCCAAAGUGUUUGGCUUAUUGACAACACUACAAACAACAAGAAAAAUAACAUUCCUCAUUAAGGGCAAGAGUGCACAAGCGGUUUAUCCAAUAUGCCUCUCUUUAGAGAAGUAAUUUAUCCCCAUCUCCUCCCCUACCUGGCCUUCACAAAUUCAAUGCCCAUAUAACGUAGGCAGAUUAUGCAAUAGUCAUGUAAACACCUUACUCUGCUUAUCUUAAUCGGUGUAAGGUCAAAAUUGAGGUAAGCAUAUGCCAAUGGUUUUCUGAGCAAUCUUUUGAAUUAUUAGGACAUGUACACACCUUUAUCAGCGUUCCAGUGGUGUAUUUGAUCUGCGCAUGUGCUAGCACCAGCUGAGAGCCUCCCUCUUUAUUGCGAGUGAAGUGAUUUCAGAACAACUGAAUGUAGUGCAGUCGAAGUAGUUUUCACAUACAAACGUUAUAUGUCUGAACUCAGAAUAUGCUUACCAAAAAUAACAUGUUUGCUGUGGUAGAACGUUUUUUUUUUAUUGCCGAUUUUCUGCAUUUAUCAGAGUGCCAUCAGGUAGGUAGCCUGAUUUCAGAUGUGUCCAUGCAAACAGGAUUAUUAGGGGAAUUGUUCUUCUUGCAAAGCAUGUAAACGUUUUAAUCAAACUAUUAUAGUAAUCUGAUUAUCCACAAUCACAUUAUUGUGUGCAUGUAACUGUACUCAAAGGCUGUGCGAAGUUGUUGGAUAUUGGUGGGAACUGGAAAACGCUGUUGUACACAUUGAUCCAAAGCACCCCAAACAUGCUCUUUGGGUGACAUGUCUGAUGAGUAUACAGGACAUGGAAGAACUGGGACAUUUUCAGCUUCCAGGCAUUGUGUACAGAUCCUUGCUACAUGGGGCCGUGCAUUAUCAUGCUGAAACAUGAGGUGAUGGAGGUGGAUGAAUGGCACUACAAUGGAUCUCGUCCCGGUAUCUGCAUUCAAGUUGCCAUUGAUAAAAUGGAAUUGUGUUUGUUGUCCGUAGCUUAUGCCUGCACAUACCAUAACCCCACUGCCACUAUGGGGCACUCUGUUCACUACAUUGACAUGAGCAAACCGCUCGCCCACACAACGCCAUACACUUGUCGGUCAUCUGCCCAGUACACUUGAAACAGAUUCAUCCUUGAAGAUCACACUUCUGCAGCAUGCCAGUGGCCAUCACAGUUGAGCAUUUCCAACUGAAGUCGGUUACGACGCUGAACUGCAGUCAGGUCAAGACCCUGGUGAGGAUGUCAAGUGCGCAGAUGGGUGGUGGUUUCGGACAGUUUGUGCAGAAAUUCUAAGGUUGUGCAAACCCACAGUUUAAUCAGCUGUCCGGUGGCUGGUCUCAGACAAUCACGCAGGUGAAGAAGCCGAAUGUGGAGGUCCUGGGCUGGAGUGGUUACACGUGGUCUGCGGUUGUGACGCCGGAUGGACUGACUGCCAAAAUCUCUAAAACAAAGUUGGCUUAUGGUAGACAAACAUUUAAUUAUCUGGCAACAGCUCUGGUGGCCAUUCCUGCAGUCAACAUGCCAAUUGCACGCUCCCUCAACUUGAGACAUCAGUGGCAUUGUGCACAUUUAGAGUGGAAUUGAUUGUCCUCAGCACAAGGUGCACCUGUGUAAUGAUCUUGUUGUUCAAUCAGCUUCUUGAUAUGCCACAUCUGUCAGGUGGAUGGAUUAUCUCGGCAAAGGAGAAAUGCUCACUAACAGGGAUCUAACCAAAUUUGUGCACAAAAUUUGAGAGAAAUAAGCUUUUUGUGCGUGUGGAAAUUUCUGGGAUCUUUUAUUUCAGCUCAUGAAAGAUGAGACCAACACUUACAUGUUGUGUAUUUUUGUUCAGUGUAUGAUGAUGAAUGUUUGAAUGUAGGCUAUUUCUUUCUAUGUGAACCAGUGGCCAUGCAGGUUGACUUUACACUGACUGAGUGUAAUCUAGUUGACUGUCUGUGGUGUUUCAGAUGGAGAAAAGAGACAGGAGAACAGAACAGGGUGACUACUGAUCUGGACCACAUUCUGAAGGGGCUGGACUCCAUGUCUGAGUGUCUGGACAGACUGGCAUGUAGUGUGGGCACAGCUGAGACAGUGUGACCUGAUCGUGUGACUUCAGCCACCCAGUCAAGAUGGCCUCUCUGAAUAGAGCGGAACAGGGGGAGAGGACAGUCCAUUCAGCUCUCCCCAGCCCGCCAUAGUGAAGCCACCUCAACUAAAGCCCCCAAAGCCACCAGACUAUUUUAACGGAUCCAGAUCCAGCUCCAGUAAACCUCCUACUCCUCCUUCUCACCCUCCUUCAAAUGUCCCCAACACAAAACCAGGCACUUGGAAGAUUCCGUCUCUCACAGUUGAAGUGUACCUAUGAUAAAAAUGACAGACCUCUACAUGCUUUGGCUCCCUGGUGUCUCUUUAACUGUCAGUUCAGCGGAGGAGGCAGUGUGGACUUCAGUUUGUCACCCCUAACUUUCCUGUCACAGGUGGUCAAAAGAGUAAGUCUUAUAGGCCACAGAGGAUGUAAAGAAGAGAAGAGGGAGUGGCCCACUAUCGGCCCUGGUCUAAAGUAGUGCACUAUAUAGCGAAUAGGGUGCGAUUUGGAUGCAAACCUAGAGCUAGUCUGCUUCACUGUGUACGCCUAUAGACUUCUCUAUACUUAGAAGGUGAUGAUGAGUGGAAAAAUGUAUCACUACCCAAGUGUUAUAGAAGAUCAUCUGUGAUAUCAAUAUGUCGCAAACCAGAUCUAAGGCCAUUAUAAUUGGUCUUCUCCCUCUGCAUCAGACUGGCUGCUAUGUGUAGUAACUCAGCCUGCUUAGAUAUAACAUUACAUUUCAGACUAAUAGGUGUCGUCAAACACAGUUUAAUACCUGCCCAGCAACAGUGAUUAUUAGAUGACAUGUGAUUGUGUCCUGAGUCUCUACGCGUUUAAAUAGACAGUCCAAUUCUGAUAUUUUAACCAAUCGGACGAGCUCUGAAAAAGACAAGAUGUCAAAAGAUCUGAUGUGAUUGGUUAGUGGGACCAAUCAGUGGGAAAAAGUUCAGAAUUGGGCUGAAUCUCUAAACGCAGCCUAUGGCUCAAAUGAUGUUUUAUUCAGCCUGUUUCCUGUAUUUGAUGUCUUAUUCAGCCUGUUUCCUGUAUUUGAUUUCUUAUUCAGCCUGUUUCCUGUAUUUGAUGUCUUAUUCAGCCUGUUUCCUCUAUUUGAUGUCUUAAUCAGCAUGUUUGAUUUGAUUUGCCUGAAUUUGAAAACCAAACGCAUAGAAAUAAAAUGACAUGAAUGUAUCUCUAAACUCCAUAUUAUAUUCUUCACACUCCAAUAUGGUGGCCGAACGUCCCACUUGGAUCAUAGCAUUUAAAUUAGAAUAUCUAUUGUACUGCAUUUCUAGCUACAUGGACCAGGCCUGCAGACUGUUGUGAUGGCACAGAUAGCCAGCCCACCGUGCAGCCCACUGCUGUGUCUGGUAUCUCACACUAAGGUGAGAGAGGAGGGGAUAGAGGAGGGAUGGCUGAUCAGUGAACCCCCAGGCAUGCAGGGCUGUCUAGGUAUGAAUACAUACCCCUGGGGGGUCUUAACAAAGGCUGCCCCCCAGCCUCCAGGCUCCACCAUAUUGAGACAUUCCUUCAUACGGUUGCAGCUGAAUGGCACCGUAUUACCUAUACUGUGAACUGCAUUUAAUCAGGGCCCAGCUCUGGCUGAAAGUGAACUGAAUAGGUAAUAAGGUAUGUGAAACCUAAGUUAGCCUAUAGAGAACAGUGUUACAGUGUGUUGGUUGGUUGACCCCCCCCAGGAGCUCUAGGUUACAGUGUGUUGGAUGGGUGACCCCCAGGGACUCUAGAGAUCAGUAUUACAGUGUGUUGGUUGGUUGACCCCCCAGGGACUCUAGGUUACAGUGUGUUGGAUGGUUGAACCCCCAGGGCCUCUAGAGAACAGUGUUACGGUGUGUUGGCUGGUUGACUCCCAGGGCCUCUAGAGAACAGUAUUACAGUGUGUUGGUUGGUUGAGCCUCUAGAGAACAGUGUUGGUGUGUUGGUUGAUUGACCCUCAGGGCCUCAGCAGGUCUCCACUGUGUCACAAAUGUCACACAGAGAUGUCAGAUGGUCCAGCACCACCUCAGGCAAUUGAAUACAUUUUUGGUGUAAUUCCUAUUUCUGAAUAAGGCUUAAAAUACAGGAUACAAUCUUGCACAUGAUGUGCAAAACACAGGGCAUGGCCUACAACAAUUACUUCAUUGACAUGUUAUAUGUCCCUAAUAGGUUGAUUGAGUCUUAAUGGAACACAUUACUUGAGUGGGGUAGUCAGUAAAAUAUACUAUUGAAAGCAUGCCUCCUCCCAUAUCAUGAUCUAUAUCUCCCCUCCUUCUCUUCUCCUCCCACAGCCAUACCUCCCUCUCCACAACCACACUCCCCUUCUCUUUCCCACUCAAUUCAAAUUGAAUUCAAUUUAAUGGGCUUUAUUGGCAUGUGAAACAUAUGUUUACAUUUCCAAAGCAAGUGAAAUAGGUAAUAAACAAAAGUGAAAUAAACAAUUAAAAAUGUACAGUAAACAUUACACUCACAAAAGUUUCAAAAGAAUAAAGACGUUUCGAAUGUCAUAUUAUGUCUAUAUACAGUGUUGUAAUGAUGUCCUGUAUUUGAUGUCUUAUUCAGCCUGUUUCCUGUAUUUGAUGUCUUAUUCAGCAUGUUUCCUGUAUUUGAUGUCUUAUUCAGCCUGUUUCCUGUAUUUGAUGUCUUAUUCAGCCUGUUUCCUGUAUUUGAUGUCUUAUUCAGCCUGUUUCCUGUAUUUGAUGUCUUAUUCAGCCUGUUUCCUGUAUUUGAUGUCUUAGUCAGCCUGUUUCCUGUAUUUGAUGUCUUAUUCAGCCUGUUUCCUGUAUUUGAUGUCUUAUUCAGCCUGUUCCCUGUAUUUGAAG